CAGUAGCCACGGGAAUACGGAGGGGGCUAGCGUUGUUCGGAAUUACUGGGCGUAAAGCGCACGUAGGCGGCUUGGUAAGUUAGAGGUGAAAGCCUGGAGCUCAACUCCAGAAUUGCCUUUAAGACUGCCGAGCUAGCAGGUGAGAGAGGUAAGUGGAAUUCCGAGUGUAGAGGUGAAAUUCGUAGAUAUUCGGAAGAACACCAGUGGCGAAGGCGGCUUACUGGCUCAUACUGGACGCUGAGGUGCGAAAGCGUGGGGAGCAAACAGGAUUAGAUACCCGCGUAGUCCCUGUCUCUUAUAC
rnacentral:rRNA from 1 species